rnacentral:rRNA from 1 species
GUCGAGAAUCUUCCGCAAUGCGCGAAAGCGUGACGGAGCGACACCGCGUGAUGGAUGAAGUCCUUCGGGGCGUAAACAUCUUUUAUAAAGGAGGAAAUUUUUGACGUUACUUUAUGAAUAAGGGGCUCCCAAUCUCGUGCCAGCAGGAGCGGUAAUACGAGAGCCUCAAGCGUUAUCCGGAAUCAUUGGGCGUAAAGGGUGCGUAGGUGGUUUGAUUAGUCUCCCGUUAAAACUUCGAGCUUAACUCGAAAAGAGCGGGGGAAACGGUCAAACUAGAGUAUGUGAGAGGUGUGUGGAACUCAUGGUGUAGGGGUGAAAUCCGUUGAUAUCAUGGGGAACACCAAAAGCGAAGGCAGCACACUGGCACAUCACUGACACUGAGGCACGAAACCUAAGGUAGCGAAUGGGAUUAGAAACCCGUGUAGUCC